CCUGAACGCUGUCGGCGUGGUUAAGACAUGCAAGUCGUACGGGCGUAGCAAUACGUCAGUGGCGCACGGGUGAGUAAUGAGUAGCUAACGUACCCCUUAGUCUGGGAUAGCUGUCCGAAAGGACAGGUAAUACCAGAUGACAUCACGUUGUCGCAUGGCAAUGUGCUCAAAGGUUCGCCGCUUUGGGAUCGGGCUACUUU
rnacentral:rRNA from 1 species